rnacentral:misc_RNA from 1 species
ACACCUCAACUCUCAUGGUUUGCCAUGAUGAGCUUGGACUCUGGGGGUCUUGCUGGCUCAUGGUCAGCUCCUCUUAAAUGAAUCAGCUUUCCAGUGUUUGGUGGCAUCACAGGUGUGAUAACUAUCUACGCUUGUGGUGUCCUCCCAGGUAACCUUCGGGCAUGGAGGUCGCUGGAGCUAAUAAACGCACAUCUCUCAUUGUAGAGAUGGCUUUUUAGAU